rnacentral:precursor_RNA from 15 species
ACCACCUCUGCCAUGAAGCUACUUUCUUUUCCUUUCACCUCUGAAUAUUCACUAAGUGUUUAUUGAGUGAAUGUGAAUGGGUGAUUGGGAGUGGAAGGAGUGCUUGACUUCUCGAGUGAA